rnacentral:rRNA from 1 species
UACGUAGGGUGCAAGCGUUAAUCGGAAUUACUGGGCGUAAAGCGUGCGCAGGCGGUUAUGUAAGACAGGUGUGAAAUCCCCGGGCCUAACCUGGGAACUGCAUUUGUGACUGCAUAGCUAGAGUACGGUAGAGGGGGAUGGAAUUCCGCGUGUAGCAGUGAAAUGCGUAGAUAUGCGGAGGAACACCGAUGGCGAAGGCAAUCCCCUGGACCUGUACUGACGCUCAUGCACGAAAGCGUGGGGAGCAAACAGG